CAGUGCAGGUGUUUAAGCAGGUGA
rnacentral:piRNA from 1 species